rnacentral:lncRNA from 1 species
GUAGGCUAUUGGGUUGCCACUCUUCCCAUCAGAUUACUUCUUUCUUCGCUACCAAUUAGCACAGUGGCUGCAUCAUGGAGGCUCAUGGUCUGGUCCAGGUCUCACAGCUAAUAUGAGGCAAAGAAAGAAGUCUAACCCGGAGUAUCAGCACCUACAGUGAAGCAGAUGAGGAGCAAAGAGGAAGUCUUGAGAGGAUUUCAAGCUGGUUAAAAUGACCAGAGCAGAGAGGAUUGUUUUGGCUUAAGAAGACAAAAGGCACACCCUGAUUCGUUCUCUCCCAUCCAGUCCAUCAGCACAAACCCUUGUUAUGCUAUGGAUAAUGGAUUAAAGUGAACUGUAUGGAA